rnacentral:lncRNA from 1 species
GGCAAGUCUUUCCUAUGUUGUUCUGGUAAUAGUGAGUAAGUCUCACAAGAUCUGAUGGUUUUAAAAAGGGGAGUUUGCUUGUACAAGCUCUCUUCUCUUGUCUGCCACCAUGUGAGACAUGCCUUUCACCUUCCACCAUGAUUGUGAGACCUCAGAACUGUGUGACAACUGAUGAUGACAACCGAACAGGGUACCCCAGGAGUGGAUGAGUGUUACAAUCAUCAAGCCGCACUGCAUUCUCAGUAAUUUCACUGUCACUAUGAUUUUCACUGCCUGGGAUGCUAACGAUUUCUGAUGCCAGUAGGCCAACUAGGCUGUGAGGAAACCACUGUGCUCAGUAGUAUUUGGUAAGAAUUUGUGUGAGAUUUUUCAGAAAGCAAAUGGAGACUUCCCAGAGACAAGCAAAUUUUAAACUACUGAGACUCUAAAGAAGACAUUUAACAUUAGUAAAAAUGACUUCAGUAGAAGGGAGAUGGAAGAAAUAAAUAUGAGGCUUCAUUAGCUCAAUGAAAAAUGGCCAGAACUUGCAGAAGAAAACAAUGAUUUGAGAAAGUGAAACUCAUAAUAUUUGGCCCUUAUUAUAAUUUUCUUCUAUUCAUAUUUAGUUUUAUUUAAGCCCAUAAUCAAGAAAAGAAAGACUUUCCUUGAAAUUUGAAACUGGAAUCAGAAUGGAAAAAAAAUGCGAAGAAAAGAAAUGGGCCUGGACUUUGAAGAAAUGUGGUUUCCAGAUAGGACUGCUAUUCCUAAAAAGUCAUGCCAUGCGACAGCAAGUGGACUAGUUACUUGGAAUCGAUAAUAACAGCAAAAGAGGCAAAACAGGAAAACUUAAAUAGCAAAGGUGAAAGCACUGUCAGCAAUGUGAAGUGUGACUUCAUCUUGGAGAAGAGUCAAAGCAAAGCAGAUGACCAAAUUUGUGAUCAUUUUCUAUAAGAGUUAUGAACUGAAUUAUAUCUCCCCUAAAAUAUAUAUAUUGAAGUCCUAAACCCCAAUAACUCAGAAUAUGAGCUUAUUAGGACAUACGAUUGUUGCAAACACAAUUCAUUAAAUGAAGAUGAGAUCAUACUGUUGUAAGAUGGGCUCCUAAUCCAAUAUGAUUAGUGUCCUUAGAAGAAGAAAAGCAUGCUGGGAGAAGUCCAUGUGAAGAUGAAGGCAGAGAUGAGGGUGACUGAGGAAAAAAAGGAAUGCAAAGAUUGCUCACAAACCACCAAAAGCUAGAACAGAGGUCCGGGACAGAUCUUUCCCUAGCCCCAUCAGAGGGAGCAACGCCCUGCUAACACCUUAAUCUUGGCCUUCUAGCCUCCAAAAUUAUGAGAAAAUAACAAUUUCUGAUGUUUAAAUGAUUCUGUGUGUUGUAUUGAUACAGCUACCCUGGGAAACUGAUACAAUAAUCAUGAUAUACUGAUUUUCAAAAGUAUUAUAUUUACUGUUUUGACGAAUGCAAUCUACAUGCCAAGUUGCCUUUGGGAAAACAGGUAAAAGAGUGGCAGAGAAGCUGUGGUGCAAGUGGGAAGCAAUACCAAGAAACAGGAACAAAGAAUAAAAUUAUAAUCUCAGUGGUUCUCAUUCAAAGUCACCCAGGCUCAUUUCUUAAUCACUCACCUAUUUUUAAUUUCUAUAUGUGGUUCUCCUUGCCCUCUCCCAGGGGGCCACAUUUCUCACCUCAGUAGUACUUGAGAUUUUCAUCAUAGGUCCAACCUGCCCAAGAUAAAGUGAGUACCCAGUAUGUACAACUAUUAUUUCCCUGAUUGAAUAGUCCAACAUGAAAAAUACGGCUUCAUAAGGAACCAAUAUGAGCCUUUGAUGCAACAAUUUGAAAUGGGCCUAAGUCUUGCCACUAUUAAUACUUACUUGAUGUGCAUUAAUUACCUUCCUCAAAUGGCAUAAAAAAACUCAGAGCUUAUAUAAAUAUCACAACAUUCUCAGGCAGUGAACCUUUUUAAAUACAUUAGACUUACAGAAUAUAAUAGAUGGAAAGAAGAAAAUUGGCUCAUAAUUGUACGAUUACAUAGAAAGUGUCUUUUAGGAGCAAUUGCUCCAUUUUCAGGUUUUAGUUUGCCAGAUUUGCAAUUUUUUCUCUUAGGGGAGGUACAUGGUGAAAUUUCAGAUGAAAUGGCGGGCUUAAAAGAAAUCAAGUGACCCAAUUGAUGAUCCUACAUUAGGAAAAUUACUCCUACACUUUCACUCCAUUAUGGUCAGUUUCUCAACAGGAAAAUCUGAGGCAGAGGGCAAGUGCCAUUGCUUUUGCAAAGUACUUCCCUGAAUUGUAUUAUUUCAGAGAUUGUGUUUCUGGUUCAACUUCCUUAUGUUACAGAUGAGGAAACGCUAAGAUUUUUUGGUGUUUUUAUAUGCCUUAAUCAAGGUCACUCAGGGAGUAACAAACAAAGUGAGAACACCAGUUUUUCUUAUACCUGUCUAACACAUGAUCAUCAGAGCAAAAUAUGUCACCAGUAACGGUGAUGGCACCAUUACUGGUAUUGUCACACUCUUAUUCUGUUCCCUCUAAAGUCAUUGACAUGAAAAUGCUGAAGAUAUUAAAAGCAAAAAUAAGUACUUUUCCUCACUGCAUCUUAAAGGGAUGUCCACUACUUCCCAAGUUCUUAAAUUAUGCAACAGAUAAUCAUGUGGGCUACAGAUUCACUGUUGUCCAAGUCAUCUGAACUUUCACAUAUUACCUGUGCCCUACAACCUGUAUUUCAACACUUAGUUCAAACAUAAAUAACUAUGAUAAGUGUUGUCAACUUACUUCAGAAGUAGGUUUCCAGUUAUAAUUUUGCAUUUUUGUUAAGUCUUUUACAUUUUUAUUAUUCUGUUUCUUUGUCUUAUUCUAAAGCAUAUUUAAUGGUAUGAUAUCAAGUAGUAUAAAUAUUAAUAGCAAUAGUAAAGUGUGAUACCUCAACCCAAUAAGGCUUGACAAACAUAAGAUAUAGAAAUAUAAUGUUGCUUGAUCAUUUUGGUCUUAUAUGUGUUUAAUAAUUUUUAUUUCUGUCCAGUUUUUUAAGCACUUGAAGCACAGAAAUGAGUUGUUUUAGUGUCACCCAUAAUUAGCUGUAACUUGUGUCACAACUCAACAGAAAUUAAGAUACUAUCCAAAGGGUUCUGUUCACCGUAUUGUGCAUAUUAUAAGCACUGGAGGAUUGAUUGUAUUUUAGGUAUUUGUUUCAUUUCAUUACAUCUUUUAUCUAGAGACUUUGUGAUGAUAAAAUAAAGGAUUGACAUACUAUAGACCUGUUUACUACAAACUAUAGAUGAUGAUCGGUAUGUCUUCUGAUUAUAUAUUUUUAAUUGUCAUCUCAUUCAGGAAUUAACAGAUUCAAUUUUCCAUGCAUAACAUAAAGACUAGUCUAUGGUGUGUCACUUGGAAGUAGUGAAGUGGUAAAAUCCAGCAAAGAGACCAAAAGGCGUGAAGGAGUUACAUUGAUACAACUUAGGGAAAAAUUCUUACAGAUCAACUAGAACUUGUGGAGAAAGACAGAUAAAUCAAGAACUAUGGAUUGACUUGCAAUCUUUUUAACACAAGAGUAAAAAGAGCCCAAAUUAAGAGGAAAUUUGAGUUAGAGUGAAUUAGAGUUAGAGUUUGAGCUAGAGCUAAAGUUAGAACUAGUGUUAGAGCUGGAGUUUGUGUGGAGUUAGGAUUAGAGGUCUAGGUCAAAUCUACCCUGCUUCUGUUCACUUUCAGAUGCCAGAGACUAGAAAAACCACAAGUCAGAAACAACCAGUCUCUAGACAAAACACUAUAGGUAAUACAUACAAGUUAAAUCCAGAUCUCACUUUUCAGUAGCUUGCUGUUCACCACUAGGGUUCUAAGUAUCAGUAUAUUUAUCUCUAACAAACAUGACAGCUGCUAGUUUCUUGCCCCUUUAGAAAUGGUGUUGCUUCCUGACAGCCUCACCCUGGACACUGCAUGGGCCUGUCCUCUGGUCUGUCUUUGCUCUGAGUACACUGGGCAGCUGUCUCAUUGUUGGAGAUUUUUGCAUCAUUUCAUCAAUGUUGUACCUACACUAAAAGAAGAAAAAUAGCAUAUAGUUGGGUUGGAGGAUGUGCUUUGGAUGUUCUCUGUAGAAAAAUGAUCCCCUGGCAGUCAUGGUGGUGACCCAUACCUGUAAUCCCAGCACUUUGGGAGGCUGAGCGGGCAGAUGACGAGGUCAGGAGAUCGAGACCAUCCUGGCUAACACGAUGAAACCCCGUCUCUACUAAAAAUACAAAAAAUUAGCCAGGCAUGGUGGCAGGCUCUAGUAGUCCCAGCUACUCGGGAGGCUGAGGAAUGUCAAUGUCACGAAAGGCAAAGAAAGACUAAGGAACUUUUCCAGAUUGAAGGAGACUAAACAGACAUGACAUCUAAAUUUGAUAUGUGGUCUUGGACCUUAUUCUUGAAGGUACAAAGGUAUAGAAGAUAUUACUGGGACAAAAAUCAGAUUAUGACUCAUAGAAUUAAGUACCAGUGUUAAAUUUUUAUACUAGAUAACUAUACAGUCCUUUUGUAAGAGAAUAUCCAUGUUCCUAGGAAAUACUGACAUGUUACGGGACAAAAGACUAUGAUGCACAAAAACUGCUCCCAAAUAUAUUCUUUUGGAAGAGUUAAAUUGUUUUUGAAAUUCUUGGAUGUAGGCGGAUUUAACAGACAUUAUGAGAUUUUGUGUCUAUUUUUGGUACACAUCUGAAUACAUUGUUUAUUUUAAGUUUUUAUGUUAAUCAGUUUCAAACUUUCAGAAAAAUUAUAAGAAUAAUACAGAAAUCUUAUACACACACACAUACACAAGGGGGAAAAAUCAAGUUUAAAGAAGAUUCUCCCUCUUUGGGUCAAUUAUACAGCAUUUAACAAAAACAUAAAUUCAUAUAGUUAUUUGGCCACUGAGAGAAUGAAAGAGACAUGUUCCCAAUAAAUAUCUAUCUGUUUGCCAUAUCAUCUGCAUCCAACAUUAAAAUUAGAGUGGAAAGUUGAGUGUAUUGAUAACUAUGCUUGCAUGGUAAGUUAUUCUUGUUGCACUAGAGUAUGACUGAACUUGUUAAGAGAAAACAAACAAGAACAGAUCUAUAAUGAAAAAGCUGUUUAUAACUCCUUCUGGAUAGGUAAAAUAUUCACUGUUAGACAGGGGUCACAGGUGUCAUUUCUUUGGAAAAUAAGGAGUAAAACAGAUAAAAGCAUCAUCCAUACUCAGCAGUACCUAAAUGUUCAUGAUCGUGUUAUUUCCAACUAAAUCUUCAUUUUUUUUUUGUCUUUCAUAUCCCACUUUGAAUCCUCCUGGUGGAACCCAGCUGAGCUCAGUCAGACAUGCAAGGUUGAAUGUGCCUGCCAGACAGGCUUAACUAUUUCCUAUGCAUCUUAGUAGAUACUAAAAAGCUACUAUAUUAAAAUUGUUGAUGAACAGGAAUUAAAAGCAUCCUUCCUCAGGUGUAAGCCAGCAUGUGAUAUUUCUGAAGAUGAGACGAUCUGGCAAUAAUCAUAAAUACUGAAGCUAUUGCUCAUAUAAGUUAGUGUACAUUGCCAGAAUGAAUUAUUUAGUGAAUUUUACUGAUGGAUACCUUAAAUAGCAUUCAGUUUAGACAGUGAUGUGCUUUCUAGUUAAGGAAAGCAUCUAAAACACAAACAUACUCAUGUUUUAACUACUAAAAUCCAAUAUACUACUUUGCAUUAACAAUCAUGUAUCUCAACCUUAAAAUUCACCUUCUCUGACUACUUGUUAAAAUCUAAUCCUGCACCACUUUUCUCAUGACUCUUUCUAAGAGGCCAUGAUUGUGUUUAUUAAAUAGUGGUAGCCUUACUCACAAGAGUAGCAGUGCUGUGGUGUGUCAAGAGACUGUCAAAACAUUUGGAGAAAUACAUUAUUUCUCUGGAUUUACAAAGGAAAAACAAAACAAAAUUUUUAGAAGAUAAAAUCAAUACAUUAAAUAGUUCAAUGCAAAACAUAUAUAAUGUUUUUACCCAUAUAUGUUGAUGUGAUUAUGAUGAUGAUAACUUUCCUGCUAUGAAGUUCAUUGAUCCCAAACAAUGAAAUUCAAUUACACCUAAUUUCGGAACAAAAAGAACCUACUGAAUUAGACACAGUAACUAACAGAAUUGAGGGAGAAGAGGAAAUGAGGAAGAGACGAGCCUUAAGAAGGAGUAAAGUUAGAGAACCAGGACUCCAAAGAGUAGUGACUAAAAGUCUCUUCAGUAUUCUUUCAUCUGAAUGACUAAGCUAAGUUUAAAGGAGAAAAGAAAAGAUAAUGUGAACAGUUUAGCUAUUCUCAAGUAAAGGAUCUUAGGCCGGGCGCGGUGGCUCAUGCCUAUAAUCCCAGCACUUUGGGAGGCCAAGGCGGGCGGAUCACGAGGUCAGGAAAUCUAGACCAUCCCGGCUAACACAGUGAAACCCCGUCUCUACUAAAAAUACAGAAACUUAGCCGGGCGUUGUGGCGGGCGCCCGUAGUCCCAGCUACUCGGGAGGCUGAGGCAGGAGAAUGGCGUGAACCUGGGAGGCGGAGCUUGCAGUGAGCCAAGAUAGACCCACUGCACUCCAGCCUGGGCAACAGAGCGAGAUUCCGUCUCAGAAAAAAAAAAAAAAUGGAUCUUAGAUCAACGAGGAAUGAGACUUAUUCUGAGUUAUAUUCGGAAGGAAGAAUAUAACUCAGUGGGGAAAUGUUUGUCCAAUGACAUUCCUUUCAACUCAGUAACAAUUAGAAUCACUCUUAAAAGAGGUCAAGGCCAGGCUCGGUGGCUCACACUGUAAUCCUAGCACUGUUGGAGGCCGAGGUCGGUGGAUCACUUGAGGUUAGGAGUCUGAGACCAGCCUGGCAACAUGGUGAAACCCCAUCUCUACUAAAAACACAAAAAUUAGCCAGGUGUGGUGGCGCAUGCCUGUAAUACCAGCUACUCAGGAGGCUGAGGCAGGAAAAUUCCUUGAACUGGGAGGCAGAAGUUGUGAUGAGUGGAGAUCACAUCACUUCACUCCAGUCUGAGUGACGGAGACUCCAUCUCAAAAAAAAGAGGUCAAAACACUCUUCAUAGAUGUGUCCAGAGAGCAACUAGGUGACCACCAUGUAAUCCAUCAGGCAUGGAUCAAAGGUAAUCCCUAUCUUGGUUGUCAGUUGACCAGGUGACUUCCCAGACCCUUUUCAACUUAAGAUUCUGUGAUUUCCCCCUGAAGACAAAAUAAUUUUCUGUCUCAAAAAAUAUUUUGCCUAGGAAAUAUGUCCAAAGCCCAAAUGUAGAUGCUUAAAGGGUUCUUUCUCUUAUUUCAAAAGAUAUUAUUCUAGAAUUUAAAAAAUACUAUUAACUUUCAAAAUUCCCAAUUAGUCUAGAAUUUCUCCAUUUAAAACCCAAAGCUGGGUGUAUUUUAUUAGUGUACUUUUUCUUCGAAUUGCUCUGCUUAUUAGUAUUAAUUGCCAACUGCAGAACAUCUGAGUACCCGGGCCUGAAACUGUGGAUUUGGAGUAUGUUAAAACUACGUGUUAGACAUAUAUUAUAAUAAUUAAUCUCUAAAAGUGUGGUUAUUUUAAAUUAAAUUAUUUUUGCACAUAACCAAAUAGAUUCUAUGGUACAGUUUUAAUAAAGGUCUAUCCUCUUUCUGAAAAAGCUUUUAUCAUCUCGCCUUUAGAGUCUUCUUCAAUAUAAAUUGUGCAAGAGAUUAACAAAGAUUAUAUAUUUAAAAAUUCUGUGCAAGUAUUUUGAUAUGUACUUCCAGUGAGAAAAUAUACAUUUAUCAAAAGAAAUCUUCUCUAUGGCAAAAUAAAUGUAAGCACUUAUUUGUAGCUCAUUGGCUUAUACUAUUUACAAACAAAAAAGCUCAACUGUUUCUGCCUCACAGAGAUACACAUGUGCACACAAACACACACACACAGAGAGAGAGAGAGAGAAAGAGAGAGAGAGUAAUAUACUGGGUGACUAAACAUGAAAGUUUUACUAAAUAUCAAGUAAAAGUCAAGAAAUUAAUCAAAGCAUACAAUUAAUGAAGAUUGGCUCCAAGAACUAAGAGUUUCUAGAGAACUAGUAGAAAGAAAACAUACAAGUUAGUUGUAAAAUUAAAAGACAACGUUGACCUUAAUGUUCUCAUUUUAAAAUAAAAAUGUGGCCAGAUUGGUAGAAAUAAUAAAUGGAGGAAAGGGUGUAAAAUUCAUUAGAAAUUUUCUCAAAGGAGGUGGCAAGAUUUCUUUGAAAAAUCAAGCUCCUAACAGAGUAUGGGAGAUUUUCUUUAUUUUUAGUUCAAAAUCUGUUAUGAAGAAAGAG